rnacentral:rRNA from 1 species
GACGAACGCUGGCGGCGUGCUUAACACAUGCAAGUCGAACGGAAAGGCCCCUUUGAUGUUAUUCGAGUGGGAUACGGGUGUGUAAGACGUGCGGAAGCUGCCUUAGCCUGUGGUUAAACUGCCUUAAACAGCUGCUAAACAUUGAUAAACAGCGGCUCCUACCGCGUGGGUGGUGUAAAGCGCCGGCGGGCGGGGAUGAACUCGCGGCGGAUCAGCUUGUUGGUGGGGUAGUGGAGCACCAAGGUGUCGACGGGUAGCAGGCCUGAGAGGGCGACCGGCCACACUGGGACUGAGAUACGGCCCAGACUCCUACGGGAGGCAGCAGUGGGGAAUAGUGCACAAUGGGCGGAAGCCUGAUGCAGCAACGCCGCGUGCGGGAUGACGGGCUUCGGGUUGUAAACCGCUGUCAGAUGAGACGAAGAGUGACUGACGGUACCUGCAGAAGAAGGACCGGCUAACUACGUG